GAGAGCCGGCAUCAAGAUGAACGUCCUGGUCGCUGCGAUCCGCUCUCGUCAGCCCCCGCGCUGCUCCCGCUCCCCCUCCCCUGGACGGUGCCCAUCUCCUUCUUCGAUUCCACCCCCACCCCCGUCUUGCAGCGCAAGACAAGUAUUGGCACUUCAUGAGUUCUGAUCCAUUUUAUUUUAUUUUCAAAAGAGUAAGCGAUGAAGCCGGGAUUGGAAUCAGUACCUUGCGACAUACUGUUAAAUCUUAAGGCUAAGCGUGUUGGGAAUUAUUUCCUUCCACGGAUGCUGCUAUGCGAAAUUGUGGUGUCCACCUACAUUACUUUGGAAACGCGAGUCUGCCCUUGCUGAGAACUACUUCAGGAAGGUGGUUAACUUCGAACGAGAGCAUAAUGUUCUUCAUGAAUUAUAUUUUCGGCGACUCAACUACCAUGCAAAAUGGAAUAGAGAGAUGGAAUCUAAAAGGAUACUAGUCUGCAACCUCUCGGACUAUGCCGAGUACCUCUUUCAGGGAAUGAAGCUUUUGAAUUCUAUACAAAUGACAAUGAUGAUUUUGACACUAUUUCUUUCUGCAUCUGGAGGGGCGUGAUGCUGUUAAUGGUAUUCCUGACAGUUCUCAAGAUUUUUGGUGGAGUUCUUCUGGCCAUACUUGUCAGAAAAGCUUUAGGAGUUUGACAUAUACAGUAGAUAAUGAAACUGAUAUUCUCUGCUCAGCACAAAUUUACCUGUGAAAGGCAUGUAAGUCUUGGGUUGUAGGCAUGAAAGGUAUGUGAAAGGCAUGAAAAGCUUUAGCUCUUGGGUUGUAGUUAUCCUUUCCUUUAAAGUUGGAAGAAGUCGAGCAUGUAAGUCUCCUGAGUUCCGAUGGUCUGGAAUAAUUUUUACAUUUUUUUAUCCUCUGCCUACUUGAUAAAAAGGUGUAAACUAGUCUUGCAUGCAUGUUGCAUAUAAAUACAUAGUACUUUUUAUGCAAAGAAUUAAAUAUUUGAGGGAGCAAAAUAUUGUUCCUUUUAUGUUGGGGCAUUAAUAUUUAUGAAAUUUAAAGUCUUUUUAAAUCUUGAGUGGGUUUUAUUUUUGUGCUUAUAAUUUUUUUGUUUUUAGCGAUUUAGCAUUAUUUAAAUAAUAGUCUUAUGUUACAUGAAGUGCAAUUUAUUUAAAAGGAAGAUCAUCUACUUUAUAUAGUUGCUCCAUGUUUAAGAAAUGCUGAAAUUCAAUGUACUUUGUGAAAAUAGGUCUUUGGUACACCCUAUAGGUGGAAACUCCAAUGCGGUACAAUUUAGUUCAGCUCUCGUUUCUUUCCUAACAACAAGUCACUAUUAUAUUGCUACCUAUAAUUUUUAUUUUGAUUUUUGCCUGUGCUGUCUCUUGUUCCAAGUUAUAGUUACAUGGAGCCAUAGUUUUUUAGUUUGUAACAUGGUACCAUAUAACCUUGUUCGACGCGUGAGCAGGCGGCGGCGGCGGAGAAAUUCAAGCCCUGCAGUGCAGCAUACAAGACAUUAUGUGAUGAUUUAGCUAUGGGCGAAUGUAGAUUUAGAUCAAGUCAACAGAGUUGGUUCAUCAGUGUAUCAAUGAGUACAAAAAGCUUUCCGCAAUUCAUCAGUUCUCGUAAUAUAUGGAGCAUCAAAUUCAUAUCGAAGUGAUCCAAAGUGCAACCGUUAGAACUUUUCAGUUUCUCAUCAUCUUUCUGUCCAGGUCCAGGUUUGAGCAUUGUUUUCUCACAAGGCAUCGAACACCAUCCUGGGAAUGGGGGAGUACAUAAAGGAUCUUCCAAACUUAUGAAAUGUAAAGUGUUUAUGUAGAUGGUUUUGGGGGUACCAACACUCAGCAACUACUGAUGGAAACUAUUUUAUUUGGAGUAUUAAGUGUUUAUUAAGCCAAGUAACUUGGAUCAGGAAAUUGUAUUUAUGGCUAAAUCAUGGCUUGUGUCAUCUCUCUGGACCAAUGUCAACUUUGAACAUUGUUUUGGUCAUACAAGAAGAAAUUUACCAAACCAUUCAUAUUCUCAUCAA